rnacentral:lncRNA from 1 species
GAUUCCGCUGUGAUAGCACAAGAUUUCGUUGCUCCUACAAGUUGUUCUUGUUGGCCAUAAGGCCAAAUCUUGAGGCAGCUUUUGCCUAUCAGACACAACAUCAGGUGUCUGUUCAGCAAUUCAGCCUUGGUCAAAACUGGACUGAGGAUACCUUGUCUGUUGAGGGUUGUUGUCAGGGCCAGCAAAGGAGCAGAACUCAACUGAGAGUUACAAGUAUCUUCCACUGAAGAAACUCAUGGUCAUUGGUCAAGGAUUGAUUCCAUCGUACUACCCUUGCUACCCGUGCUACCCCUGCUUAAAAGUCACGAUUCCAGAUGACGGAAACCCCGCUGAUUCCUGAAUACAGAACUGGGAAAUCCGAGGUUGUGGCUGCAGUCAGAGUACUUUGGGAGCCGGAGUUACACCGUUGAUUCGUUGAAGGGAUGUAUCCAUGAUGUAGUGGAAACAUUUUAAGACUUUUUAAAUUUGUGAUUUACCAGUCUUUUUAAAGAAGUCUGAAGAUUAUUUUCAUUUGUGAAGCCUAAUUGGUUCUUUAUAAAUUUUGAAGUGAGUAAUUAUACAUCCAAGUGAGGAUAGUAACUGAUUUCUUUCCUUUGGUUUUGUUUUUUGUUCCUUUGGAGCAACAACAUGGUACAUCAAGUAAAAGGAGUUGAGAAUUAAUUACGCAAGCAAUAAUUUGACAAGUUGUUUGUUUUUUUAUGCCUGUGUAAAUAAUUAAGGAAUAAAUUAAUUUAAGAGAGAGUGGAGUAUAAAACUGACAGUCUCUGUCCCAUGUAUUUUGAGAGUCACACUUCUACACUUGGCCUCAUUGGAGGAAUGGCUGAUGAUUAACUAGUCAUUGAGGUAUUGAAAAAUGAGGACGUCGCGUUGCCGCAGAUGAGCAGCAAGUGUCUUGGCGCCCCGGGUGAAGACCCUUGGUGAAGUGGAGAGACCGAACGGGAGAGCCAGAAACUCGUAGAUUUGACCACAACAUUCGAAGCGAAGGAACUUGCAGUCCUGUUUGUGUAUUGGAAUAUAGAGAUAUGCAUCCUGCAGAUCUAUGGAAGCGGCCCAGCAUGGGACCGGUAGGAGGUGCAAGUCUAUGUUUAGAGUCUCCAUCCAAAACCGCUUCUACGUGAUGAAUUUGUUGAGCAGUUUCAGGUUGAUUAUUGGUCGCCAUUUUCCCGGUUCUUUCUUGGGUGUCAGGAAGAACAACAAAAGGAAGCUGGUGGACAACUGACUUGGGUGUACCGGCAUGAUGGCUUGUUUGCAUGGUAAUGCUGGAAUCUACUCCUCCAGAGCCAGGCGCUUGGACUUGUGGCAUGGAGGGGGAGUUGAACAGAAAACCAUCCCGGAUAGUGGGGAGCUCGUGAAUUCGAGAAUGUAACUGUGGGCAAUGGUGGUAAGGACCCAGCAGUCCACAGUGUUUUCCCGCCAGAACCUGAUGAAGUUGCCUAGACAGCCUCGGACAGGUUUGGGAUUGGUGGCUGCCAAAGGUGAAGGAAAGUAGUCACCGGCGCCGCACUCCUGUGGGGACUGGGGGCGCGGUGCGGACCAGCGGUUGGCAGGUCAUGGUUGGAACGUUUUACAAGCGGCCAGGGGCGGAGCUCCAAGGGAGCCUGAGGACCGAGUUGCUGAUCGGAGCGGACGACUGAAGGAACGGCCUGAAGACGGGGAUGGUCCUGCCUGUCAUCUUCGUUGUGGUGGGGGCUGCCGGUGUGGAGAAGCCCUUCUUCUUGGCCUUGGACGUGGAAGAAGAAGCCAAGGAAGAGGUUUUGGCCUUGCACUUCUUAGUCUUCACUGGAACGGGGGAACCGAAGGCUGGGACGGUUGAAGCUGCAGCUGGGCAAGAAUCCCUCGAAUGGUCGAUCAUAUCCUAGGAGGAGCGCCUUGGAUCAGGAUCAGUGGCCCUAUGGCCGCAGACCAGGGGUUAUACUAGAGCUGCGGAUGGGAUGCAGCGGAUGAAAGCCCUGGUGGUGUAGAAGUCCAAAAGGGCUAACAUCGUCCAACACAACAUGAGGCUGUGCACCAUGCUGUUCUGUAGACUUGCCUGUGACAGAAGCAGUGGAGCGUGGCAAAUUCGUCAUGGAUCCCGUUGCCCACUUAGAAGGGGGUUGACUGGCCCGACUUCCGAGCGGAAGAAGCACAGUGAGCAGAAGCCGGUGAGGGACCUGGGGCAGACGGCGGGCCAUCGCCCUGCAAUCCCUGCUGGGCCAUCGGUAGGCAGAGUCAUUCAGGGAUGUGGUAGGUAGCAACAGUCAGCACCUCCAGCAUAGACAGAGAGGAACAAUUCAUUAUGCUCUGGUCAGCCGUGAUCCAGCCGUGAUAUGCAGAGUGGUCGUCUGUGAUCAAGGAUAGUGUUGCAGCACAGCAUGCUAAACCCGAUCAGUGGGUAGAGAGAGUGGUCGUCAGUGAACAAGGAUAGUGUUGCAGCACAGCAUGCUCAACCCAAUCACUGGGUAUAGAGAGUGGUCGUCAGUAAUCAAGGGUAGUUAUGCAGCACAGCACCCUCAACCCGAUCAAUCCAAACAGCAGUCCUCACUGAUCAUGGGGAGUGUUGUGGCACUGCAUGCUCAACCUAAUCAAUGUAGAUAAAGGUCAGGGGUAGUUUGCGGCACUGCACACUCAACCCUGGCCUAGCCACUCCACUGGGUCUUUCCCUGGCAUGGCUGUUAGUCUCAGACAACACAACCACACCACAAGGGAUCAGGGCAGCUCAUAAGGUCCCCGCUCCACAGCCAGACCCAUACAGCAGAAUAUGGUGGGCCGUUAUUGUUUGAACGUACGCACAUCACUCAGAACAAAGGGAUGCCCGUCAGCCCUGUUUAACAGCCACACACAACACGAUACAAUAGUAGGCCCCAAACCUGUAAAUAAUGCACAGAACUAGAAGGGCAAAGGCGUCAUGGCUCGCUGCUUGUUAUGAAUUUGAAUUUCUUUCCUGUAAUAACAGCUAUGUUUAGGGACAUCCAAGUUAUACAAAUAUGGUUACUAAAUUAUACUAACCAAGCUUCAUCAAAAUCUUUUACAAGAUUGGUUGACAUACAACUACAAUACAGAUGUGCAAGAUAUUUAAUCGACCACAGCAAUAAAAUUCAUUAUACUCUAGGAAAAAACCUAGUUAGUGCUGUGUGCAGACUAUGUUUUGAAAGGUGCCUGUCAUUUAGAAGUAAAUCAACAAAGACCACCAGCAAGGGAGAUAUGGGUACAAACGCUUCACAGUUCUUUACAGGAGAGAGGAAUGCCUGAAGAAUGUGGGUUCAGUACAAUCAGACUAGACCUGGAUGAUUAUAUAAGCAGUGCAUUUGUGAGUCUGAUGGAUGGUGCAUAAUUGAAAUUCCUCUAAAGUACAGUUCUGCAGUUGUAUCCAACCCCAUUAUCCUAUCCUCUACAAUUCUACCCCCCAUCAUCCCAUAUCUACCAUGUCUACUUUGACAUGGUAGUUAAGUUUCUAAACAUUAAUGCCAUAUGAGACUAUUUAAAUACUGAUGGAAUUCCAAGAGGAAGCAAACAAGCACUCAAUGGCACAUUUUGAGGGUGCGUAUCGUAAGUCCGACGCCUGAAAAGUCCGAAUUUUUGGACUUGUGAGGCGUCGGAUUUAUGGGCUCAAAGGUCCGACCCCUCAUAAAUCCGAUGUCUGACUAACGAGGUGUCAGACUUAAUAUGAGGCGUCAGUACGAUUGACUGUGAAACAUGGAGAAGUGUGGGCCCGCGCGAUGUGAGGCUGCGUGUCAUAAAUAGUAUACCAUACUUGACACUGGGAACCAGUCUUGUUCCCAGCGCCGUCUCAUCCGCAGUCAAAUCAAACACCGGACAUUCGAGGCGUCGGAUUAUUUCAGGCGUUGGAUGUAUGCUAUGGGCCAAAAAACCAUUGGAACUUUUAAAUGCAUUUGUCGGACCUAAGAGGCAUCGAACCUAUGAGGUGUCGGACUUAUGGACUUUUUAAAAACCUUUUUGCGGACUUAUGAGGUGUCGGACUUACGAGCUGACACCCAUUUUAACACCUAUGGAUCUGCAAGG